GAUACACCCACACACACGUACAUGUUUAUCUGUUUGUGUGUGUGUUUGUCAGAGAUAAAACUUGAAUCCAGGUCCAAAUUGCAAAGAAAUGUAUGGUCGAAGAACAAGAUGUGCUGGUUAUAAAUGAGAGGAGGACAUAAGAAGCCCAAAUGACAUGAAGAAGGUCUCUUGUACAUUGGACAGAUCACCUUAUAGGAGAAAAUCACCGAGACUGAUGAGAUGGGUCACAACCUGCAUCGUUGGACAGAAUAACCCGAUGGGGGAGAUCCCAGGAACAUGCGACUGUUGAAAUUUCCCCAACUCUAAUAUCUUGACUAAAGUAGACACUUGCUAAAUGCUUAGGAAAUGGGACAGAAGGGAACGUAGCUCCCUUUCUGUGUAACCAAAAGGAGUCGGUGUCUUUAAGAAGAACGCUUAAUGUAUAACAUUUUUUAAGAAUGACUUCAGAUCCCUUGUGUUUCCAGCCAACAAACACCAGUGGAAUUCGCUCACUUCCUCGGGUUAGCUGUUCCUAUUACUGAGAAGAGCAACAGGCCCUGGAAACCCCCCAUCUUAGUGAAUCACAUCUGGGUAUCUGAUGUUAAAAUUUGAUAUAAUCGGCCGAAGAACAGUCAAUCACCAACCGCUUAUUAUUAGGUGCCCGCUGUAUGCCAGACAUAGUCCUGGGCACUGAGAAGCCAGAGAAAAUUAAACAGUCCUUGACCUCAGGGAGUUUAUAUUUUAUCUCUUCUAUCUCAUUCAAAACAAAGUCAAUAAAUGCUGUAAAACUA